GGUAAUGAUUUUAACGGUUGAACAUUUUAACUAAUUAAUUAUGAUUGAUUGCUUGUUACUAAUCAAGGAAUAUGAGUCAAAGUUGUAAUUGAAAAACCAGGAGCAAUGGGCUUUGCAGAGAGCAUAUCACAACCCUACUGGGAUCAGAAGCAUGACUUUUGCCUUGAACAUUGCAUCCGGGAGCAUUCCAGUCCUUUCUCUUUCAUUUAUUCCUAAGACAGACUGCUAGGGUGUUGAUUUUUCAGUGCUGUGAUUAGGAUCCUGGUGUCUGGAAACUUCUCUGCUUCUGGGUAGUGCUCAUUAAAAGGAGCCCACACCAUCCAGACCAUUUCUGAAAAUUUGAAGAUUCCCAAA
rnacentral:lncRNA from 1 species